rnacentral:tRNA from 1 species
GGGUUUGUAGCUCAGUGGUAGAGCACUUCCUUACCAUGGGUGAAGCCUUGGGUUCAAUCCCCACUACCA